GGCCAUAGCUCAGUGGUAGAGCAUCUGCCUGGCAUGCAGGAAGUCCCAGGUUCGAUCCCUGGUGUGUCC